rnacentral:rRNA from 3 species
AAGGUUGACCUCGGAUCAGGUAGGAAUACCCGCUGAACUUAAGCAUAUCA